ensembl:lncRNA
CAUAUCCCAGGAUACAUCGCAGUCCCACAAUUCGAAAAGUAAGCUGAGAUCAUUUUUUGACAAACAUCAAAUUAUACAACAUAUUUGCAAUGAGUUUAUGGUUAUAUCCGGAUCUAGUUUUUUUUUGAGAGUUUAAAUAGCGUAUAGCUUGUUAAAUAGUGAGGUAAAAGACCGUUUAAUCCCAUAGUAACGUAAUCACGCGACGGUUAAGAUGCACAUGCAACACAGUCAUGUAGUUUUGUUAAACUGCUGUGCCUUUAUUUAGACAUUCAUGGAUCCUACAGUAUGACAAAACUCCACGUGCGUCCUUUGUUUUUAGUAAGCAGAACAGGUUUGCACGAACGCUAUGAGAUCAAGCGGCUCAGCUGUUUUCACAAGACAGAAUCCAUUUCCUCCGGAUCCCCCUUUGUCCAGGAGCCACUACAGUCCAUCUAAAUCCAGAAAAAUCCCAAAGCAACAAAAAAGACUGGUCUUGAGUCCUGUCCGGUUUUCUGAGUCACCCAGUCCUUCAGAUCUACCUACUCGGGUGUCACCUUUGAGGACGGAGGACCAGGUCUUCCAUGAAAGAUCACGUAGUGUCCUGCACUGUCCUCCUUCUACUCAGUGCCAGCUGAGCUACUCCGAGUCUUGGCCUUCUACUGACCUGAGUUGCUCUACAGACAACGUUAACACUUCUGUCUGCUCUGAAGCUCAGCUACAAGCCAUGAGAAACAUGGUUGCACCAAGAAUAAUUGAGGCAAAGGAACCCUCAGUUCUGGCAAAGUACAUUGAACGCUUCCGUUUCGGAAAGCCACAGAGUCGAGACGAAAGAUGCCUUCAGGCAACUGAUGCAGAAGAUGACCAGCCGUUUUGGUGGAUGUCCACAUCCCCUCCAUCCAGUUCAACACCAACACACCCAUCAGAGAAAUAUAUCAGAGCACCACUUGACCUCAUGAAGGAUGGCCCCGCCAGCACCCAGAGCCCAAUCUCAAAGCCACUGCAUGAUGAAACCACGCUGUCUCCAGCUAGACACAUGCUUGACCUUAGUAUGCUGGUGAGUUUUGCAUGAAAUUGAAUAACUGAUUUGCCUAGAAAAGCUGACGGCAUUUUGA